rnacentral:rRNA from 1 species
AGACGUCUACAUUAGAUACCCGGGUAGUCCCAGCCGUAAACUAUGCGCGUUAGGUGUAUCGGUGACCACGAGUCACCGAGGUGCCGAAGGGAAACCGUGAAACGUGCCGCCUGGGAAGUACGGUCGCAAGGCUGAAACCUAAAGGAAUUGGCGGGGAGCACCACAACGGGUGGAGCCUGCGGUUUAAUUGGACUCAACGCCGGGAAGCUCACCGGAUAGGACAGCAGAAUGAUUGCCGGGCUGAAGACCCUGCAUGACUAGCUG